AUAAAAGGUAAGCUAAAUAAGCUAAUGGGUUCAUACCCCGUUUAUAAAGGUUUCACCCCUUUCCUUUUU
rnacentral:tRNA from 1 species